AUUGAACGCUGGCGGAAUGCUUUACACAUGCAAGUCGAACGGCAGCACGGACUUCGGUCUGGUGGCGAGUGGCGAACGGGUGAGUAAUAUAUCGGAACGUAUCCAAUAAUGGGGGAUAACUAAUCGAAAGGUUGGCUAAUACCGCAUACGUCCUACGGGAGAAAGCUAGGGACCUUCGGGCCUGGCGUUAAUGGAGCGGCCGAUAUCUGAUUAGCUAGUUGGUGAGGUAAAGGCUCACCAAGGUGACGAUCAGUAGCUGGUCUGAGAGGACGACCAGCCACACUGGAACUGAGACACGGUCCAGACUCCUACGGGAGGCAGCAGUGGGGAAUUUUGGACAAUGGGCGCAAGCCUGAUCCAGCCAUUCCGCGUGAGUGAAGAAGGCCUUCGGGUUGUAAAGCUCUUUCGCAAGGGAAGAAAACUUAGUUACUAAUACUAACUGAGGUUGACGGUACCUUGAUAAGAAGCACCGGCUAACUACGUGCCAGCCGCCGCCGUAACAC
rnacentral:rRNA from 1 species